AAGGAAAAAUACUUCAGCGGUACAAAGUAAAAGGAUUUAACAGUAAUAAAUACUCCCUCUGUCUUAGUACAAAGUUGAGUCAUUUUUGAGUCACUUAUUUUGGGACGGAGGGAGUACUAUAUUGCUAGAAUCUUUACUCUUACAAAAAUGUGAGAUGGCGAUGGUACGCCAUAUCCUAUCAGAUCUUUUUUUUCCUACCAUCCUAAAAUUCUAAAAAUCUAACUUACUGAGCAACCGCUCUUUCCCACCUUUCUGAAAAAAUUGUGACAAUAAGAACUAAUUGAAACAGAAGAAAGCUUCUAAGAAUAAUAAAAUAAGCAUACUCUUUUUUCCACCUUCCUAGAAAAAAUGUAACAGUUAUUGCUGAACGAAUAUUUGGCACUAUGGGUGAGGACUACGGGAGUGGAGCUGGACCAGAACGAAGGGGACUCGGUUACUUGGUCCUGCGGAAUCAAUGGAGAGUACUCGGUUAAGUCCGCAUACGAAGCCAAAUUCUGGGGGAGGCUGGUAGUUCCCACGGCGGAGUUCACUUGGCAAUCCAAGGCACCACUACACUACAAUGCAGGUUCUUUGCAUGGCUUGCCAUACAAAAUAGAUGUUGGACGUCCGACCGCUUAGCGAGACAUGGUUUGGAUCACCAGGACAGAUGCUUCCUUUGUAACCAAGAGGAGGAAACAAUAGAGCAUAUUUUGCUUCACUGCAUUUUGCGAAGGAGGUGUGGACUGCUAUCCUGUACUCUUUGGGGAAGCAGGAAUGGAUGCCAAUGGCCGGGCAAGGGAUAUUGGACUGGUGCACAAGGGAGCAACUGGACAACACAAGAAAGAGGUCCGAACACUACUCAUACUAGUCAUAUGGGGGCUAUGAAAACAUCGCAAUGGUAUAGUGUUUGCCGGAGCUACACCAUCAAAUAAUCAUGUCAUCCUCAAGAUAAGGAUGGAGGAACGAGCCUGGAAGGAAGCGGGUUUGCUCAAAGGAAGCACGGAGGACUUCUUUCGAGCCGUGGAAGUGUGGGCUAGAGUAACAAGUUAGGCAUAGAUAGGGUGGCCUAGGACUUGAUAUGCAUGUAAAUUGUAACACUAACGUGUAGGGGCUCUUUUUACCCCCAUCCUCUUCUUUAUAAUAUAGUAUGCACACGAAAAAAAGAGAGACACACCCCGCAAAAAAAAACUAACUGAGAGACAAACAAAACAAAGCUUGUUUGUAUAUAAAAACAAUUUAACCGCCACCCUGAAAUAUCUCUAAAUAAAAAUGGAGCUGAGACCUUGUGCUUGCAGAGACAUUGUAUAUAAAUCAUUCUGUGAACUGGACCAGACCGAUGACAUUAAGGACAGUAUAACCGCACCUAAUCCCAGCCCUCACAGCGUUUUGCGUUUUUGGCCGUCCAUUUAUACGAUCUGGACGUUUCUGGCCGUUGGAUUUGAUGUUUAAGUCGAUCUGAUCCGCAGUCUGUUUAAUCUAGCCCAUCUGUCCUGUGGGCUGCUACUCCACGGGCCGAAAGGAAGGCCUCCGGUGCAUUGGGCUUUCGCGAGCCGCUAGCCCAUUUGAAGGAGCCCCAGUGCUGGGCUUGGGAGGCCUACGAGCGAGACCAGGAGAGCGUGAAGUCCAUCCACUCGCGAACCCUAAUCCCAUCCCGGUGGAGGCGCAGGGGAGCGAGACGCGGAGGCCACCGCCGCCAUUCUCCCCGGCUCGUCGCCACCGUCGUUAUUAUCUCUGGUUCGCCGCCACCGUCGUUAUUAUCUCUGGUUCGCCGCCACCGCCUCCACGGUCGACCAGUAGAUGCCGCCUUCCUUCUCAUAUCUUUCCUCCCGCAAGCGCAGCGAGGAGGGGCUCCAUCUCGUCGCGGAUAUGGGCUCCAUGACCGGAUCGUCACGCUCGCUGGUGUACAGAACCCAGCAAAGGUGCACAUACUCUGGCCUGUUCCCUACGUACCCAUUCCCUCCAUUACUACUCCCCACACUAAUGUGAAUGUUCGUCUGCGCUGUCGCGGUGCCUGCCACUGCCUUCCUGCCUCCAGAUUGCAGGAGAAAUUGGGGACAAUUUGUGCCAAUGCAUCCAAGAAUCUCGUUUCAGCAACGAUGGUGUAUGGAUGGGAGGCGCCAGAUCUUUUCCGCCUCCACACCUCCUUACUCUCGUGAUCCCUGUCUUUCUUCUUUGAUCUGGCCUGGCCGUGGUCACCACUGGUGAGUAUUUUUGUAGCACUUCAUUCUUUCCAUUCCAAGUUUUUGUGUUUUAUAUGUGUUGUGCCAUUAUUUCUUUGGUCUCCGUUGUAGAGAGAAGAAUGAAAAAAAUAUUAUUUAUGCACCGAGUUUGCAUCCAAAUUCCAAAGCCACAAGGUUGAUUUCUCUGUUGGGGAGUUGAGGUAUCGUCUUCUUUACAGGAGUUCUUUCUUAGAGAUAGAAGAAACAUAACAACUAGCGUUGUUCAAUCUGCUAUCAACUCCUGCAUAUACCAAUCUCACAUUUGUGCAGGUGGUGCUCAUCACUAUUCCGGUCGAUUUCUCUGUUGGGGAGUUGAGGUAUCGUCUUCUUUACAGGAGUUCUUUCUUAGAGAUAGAAGAAACAUAAUAACUGGUGUUGUUCAAUCUGCUAUCAACUCCUGCAUAUACCAAUCUCACAUUUGUGCAGGUGGUGCUCAUCACUAUUCCGGUCAACUAAUUUGGGCAACUCUUCGAUCCUGAUUCUUACCGAGCUGCUGAGCUUCAAUCCGGUCCAGUCAGUCAGAUCGGGAGAGGAAAAAGCAUAACGAUUGAUGCGGGGCAAAGGCGAAGCAAGGAGGUCCUGACUAAUCGAUCCGGCGCAAAGCGAUGCAAGGCUCAUUUUCUAUUGGUUUUGUGGAUGGUGGCGAGGGCCUCACUCGACUCUUCUGGAGUUGACAUCACGCUCCUAUGCGCCUCCGCACCUCUCUACUCGACAAAAUAUGAAGGACCUUGGCAUAGAUUGAUUGGUCUGUUUGGUCGAUGAGAGCACCGCAACAAGGUAUGCAAUAUGGAGUUUGCCUAGCAAGCCAUGUCGAUGUGUCGCAGUAGCCUGUUGAUCUUAUAUUCAGACUCUGAAUGUAGUUAAGUUUUACAAUUGAUGAUCUCCUGAUUCUGUUGCCAUGUGUUUAGUAGAUGGAUGUAUCUUCUGAAACAUGUGCUGGAGUCUUAAUAUGCUUCGGCAAUGUCUUCAUGAGUGAGAAAUUGCUCCAGGCACUCGGUAAUACUGAGAACAGAUUUAGGAUUCAUGCUUCAAAACUUCUGUUAGAACAGUUUUAACUGAAAUAGACCUGAGUACACUCUUUAGUCCAGUAUAGGUAAUCUAGGACAAUAAAAUUGUAGCUUCUUCUAGCUUUCUCACAAAUAUUUUGUCUCUAUUUUACUUUGAAGCCACCCAGUAGUUCUAUGCUGCUGCACCAAUGGGUUGUGGUUUUUUGGACUGGAUUUGGGUGAUAGAAUUACCGAUUCUUCUGAAUAGUGUUCUACUUGCUCAUUUUUAAACUCAUGGAAUGAAAACAUUUUCUCAACCAAAUUAAAAAACUGGUGAUGUUUUUUUUUUCCAUUACCAAUAAUUUUCAUCUCAUAUUUUGAACAAAAACAAAUAUUCUUUAAAUUUCACCUUGCAUACAUUCAUACACAUAGUUCCUACUGUUCCCUAUAUUUUAUAAACUCAUAUCCUUCAAUUGGCAAUAUUGAUGUCAACCUUAAGAGAGAAUAAAGUUUUAUUCGUAAGCCACUUUACUGAACUCGGUAUGUUCUCUAGAAGAGUUGACAACCCUUUGCAGCUUCUCUUAUUGUUUUGUUUGCAGCAACAACAUUAGUCCCGCUGUGCAUAUAUCAGCCCUUUCAUUUGGGGUGCCCUUUCCAUGACCCCUUUCAGGACUUCGUAACAAUGAUACGGUAAUAAUUCACCGCCAAAUUUGUGUGAGAAAUGUGAGACCUAGGUGCGAUCAGCUUGUUAUCUAUACGUUUACUGAUGCUUUAAGGUAGCUGAGAUGGUUCAAUGGAUUGUAAUAUACACUAUUCAUAUUUUCUUUCACCCUUUUACAUAAUAUUUACAGUAAUUCUUGCUUGUCUUUGCAGAAAAGGCAGGCACUACAAUUUCAAUCGUUAUGCAUGAACAAACCUGAAUGUGACAUGUUUUCUGAAAUGUUGUCUUUUGAAGCUUUAAUGUUUUUGUCUUACCAGAAUUUGAAUUAUCAUGUCAACCAGUUGACUUGUCAGAGAAAGUAAAGUAAUUGGCCCUUGCA